GUUGCAGCGCCCUGUUCUCCCUGGCCCAGCGCUGCGCCCGGCUCCCAGCCGCGUCCCCGCCCCCACUUUCGGCUCCCACUCUCUCCUGCGCUCCGCUCACUCCUGCGCCCCUUCUGCCUCUGCAUUUGGCUCCCUCCUGCGCACCCGCUCCCCGGGCUUGCCCUCUAUCUCCAGUGCGCAGGUUCCCUGCAGAGCGGGGCGCGUGCUCCCUUUAGCGGGGAGGGGACCUCGGUUUUCUCGAAGGGCCAGAUUGCCUUGGACAGUCUGUCCGCUGGGGUUGGAGGAGUUUGGCUGCCAGAUAGAUUCUCGGAUGGGGCAGCCUAGCAGAGUGUGUGUAAAACCCUUCCACCGUCAAGAGGGGAUCCAGGCAGCCUGCGUCCUGCCCGCUCCGGGGAGCGGAGGCGGGUGUUAGUGGUUAGAGGAAACUUUCCAGCAGAGCGCCUUGCUAGAGCAAACGGCGCAUCUGUCAGGAACGCUCUCUGGGCACUGUUCUUGCAAGGAGCUUCUGUUGUUCCAGUGCAGUAGAUGCAGAAAGGAAGCGAAGGUUUGUGCAUCUGACAGCUGACACUGAGGAUCGGUUGGAAAAAUACACACUCCCCAGUCCCAGCUAAUGAAUGUAUCGUGGCAUAAAGCAGAAAAAUCUUCGUUCUACACAAAGCCAAGAGUGGCAAAGGAGACAGCUUCCAAUCAGUGGAAAUUGAACAAUUGAAUAAAUGUGUUCUUUUUAAGUGGGAGAAGAUGUGGUAGAGAAUUUAAUUUGUGAGGAAGCAGGUGAAGUGAAAGAAGAGGAAGUGUUGAUUGUCAGUCAUCUGGAUUCAAGCAUACGGAUCUGAGUAGGAGCGGACCAAAAGGCGGCCCUUCAGUAAACACUCAAGUUUCUUUAAGGGACGUCCUGCUCAGAUGUUCCAGUCAUUAAGCUGCAUUCCACACCAGGACUCCAGAGGCUUUAUGGACUCUUAAGCCUUUAAAAAAAAAUUUUUUUUAAUCAGUUUUUAAAGCUAUUUGGAUUUGUAUCUCAACA
rnacentral:lncRNA from 1 species